CGCUACUACUUGUGACUUGAUUAUGGAUAGCAAUAGACAACAAAGUUUGCGCUUGGAUUGGUGACAAGUACCCAGCAGAAAUUGCACCUUGUGGAAUACUUGUGUUACUUAUGAACCCAAUUCCUGAACCAUCAUGACCACUGGAUCCAUCACUUGCAUAAACGACAGGGAAGUCGACCGAUGUCCAUGAUGCCACGGUACUGUUGUGACUUGUACCAGAGCUGACAACAACCAAACCUUGGAUACUAGAACUUAGUGAUUGAAUUAAGCUUUGAGAAUAUCCUUCUUCGUAUAUAAUUGGAACCAAUGGACUGGAGGAUGAUGAGGAUGUAUUGGUCCCGGAGGAGGCAUUAGAAGAUAUUUGUGCGCUCGUAAAAUUCGAGUAUUGAGUUCUGAUUGUGGAGUUGCUGGCAAUCAGAGUUGGCUCACAGGCAUCAAAGAACCAUUGAACAUUCUUCUGACCAGACAAAACGCCCACAGGAACAGUGUAAGGAGGGAAAACACCAGAAUACACAACUUUAUCUCUACCGGCAACCAAAGUGCCUCUACCUUCCGCGUCCGAACUACUCAAUAUUGGUACACCCCAUAAGAAAUUCUCAGUAAUGACAAUGGUCUUUGAUGUAUUAAAAACGAUUGAGCAGAAGAAACUCAAAGUUUCAAUGGAACGCCAGUUUGUGACGAUUAUAAUGCCGGAAGACGAUUCGCUUUGUAAAGUCUGAUUAACUUGAGUAGCAAUUUGGUAAAGUUGAGUGAUGUUUAAGGUGGAAGUAGAGUUGAAUAGCGUUGUGGUAGUAACGUUUGACUGGCUACCAGAUACAGCAGGUCCACCCGUGAUGAUCACGGGGACCGUACCGCCGCCAGAAGUAACGUUCUGCCUCUUGUAAAGUGGUGUUGCAGAAGCUGUUAAAGUUGCAAGAAAAAAUGCUAGCACUGAUGUGAAUUUCAUAAUAGCUGAUUGGGUUCUUAGAUGUGAAAACUGAUCGA